rnacentral:rRNA from 1 species
AACGAACGCUGGCGGCAUGCCUACACAUGCAAGUCGAACGAGAUCUUCGGGUCUAGUGGCGCAUGGGUGCGUAACGCGUGGGAAUCUGCCCUUUGGUUCGGAAUAACAGUUGGAAACGACUGCUAAUACCGGAUGAUGACGAAAGUCCAAAGAUUUAUCGCCAGAGGAUGAGCCCGCGUAGGAUUAGCUAGUUGGUGUGGGAAAGGCGCACCAAGGCGACGAUCCUUAGCUGGUAUGAGAGGAUGAUCAGCCACACUGGGACUGAGACACGGCCCAGACUCCUACGGGAGGCAGCAGUGGGGAAUAUUGGACAAUGGGCGAAAGCCUGAUCCAGCAAUGCCGCGUGAGUGAUGAAGGCCUUAGGGUUGUAAAGCUCUUUUACCCGGGAUGAUAAUGACAGUACCGGGAGAAUAAGCUCCGGCUAACUCCGUGCCAGCCGCCGCAGUAA